rnacentral:rRNA from 1 species
GGAUUUCGGAAUGGGCCAGUUGGUCCGCCUCACGGUGUGUUACUGGCUGGUCUGUUCUUCUUCGCAGAGACUGCGUGUGCUCUUUACUGAGUGUGCGUGGGAUUUACGACGUUUACUUCGAAAAAAUUAGAGUGUUCAAAGCAGGCUUUCGCUUGAAUACAUGAGCAUGGAAUAAUGGAAUAGGACUUUGGUCUUAUUUUGUUGGUUUCUGAGACCGAAGUAAUGAUUAAGAGGGACAGUUGGGGGCAUUCGUAUUUCGUUGUCAG